rnacentral:rRNA from 1 species
UACGUACCGGACGAACGUUAUUCGGAUUUACUGGGCUUAAAGAGUGCGUAGGCGGCUCUGCAGGUGGGGUGUGAAAGCCCACGGCUCAACCGUGGAAUUGCGCUCCAAACCGCAAGGCUUGAGGGAGACAGAGGUGAGCGGAACUGAUGGUGGAGCGGUGAAAUGCGUUGAUAUCAUCAGGAACACCCGUGGCGAAGGCGGCUCACUGGGUCUCUUCUGACGCUGAGGCACGAAAGCUAGGGGAGCGAACGGGAUUAGAUACCCGCGUA